rnacentral:rRNA from 1 species
UACAGAGGGUGCGAGCGUUAAUCGGAAUUACUGGGCGUAAAGCGCGCGUAGGCGGCUUUGCAAGUCGAUUGUGAAAUCCCCAGGCUUAACCUGGGAACUGCAUUCGAGACUGCAUAGCUAGAGUAUGGGAGAGGGAAGUGGAAUUUCAGGUGUAGCGGUGAAAUGCGUAGAGAUGUGGAGGAACACCAGUGGCGAAGGCGACUCUUUGGCCUGUAACUGACACUGAGGCGCGGAAAAGCGUGGGGAGCAAACAGG